rnacentral:lncRNA from 1 species
CCAACCCUGCCAUAUCUUGGAGGAGCCGGUGGAGCCACGAUUAUCGUGACUCCUCCGACUCCAAGGCCUUGUUUACUUGGCAAAUUUGGGAGGUGCCAAAUUACUGUUACAGCACUGUAGCACACUGUAGCGUUUCGUUUGUAUUUGUGAAUUAUUAUCCAAAUAUUGACUAAUUAGGCUUAAAAGAUUCGUCUCGCAAAGU